UACGUAGGGUGCGAGCGUUGUCCGGAAUUACUGGGCGUAAAGAGCUCGUAGGUGGUUUGUCGCGUUGUUCGUGAAAUUCCCUGGCUUAACUGGGGGCGUGCGGGCGAUACGGGCAGACUGGAGUACUGCAGGGGAGACUGGAAUUCCUGGUGUAGCGGUGGAAUGCGCAGAUAUCAGGAGGAACACCGGUGGCGAAGGCGGGUCUCUGGGCAGUAACUGACGCUGAGGAGCGAAAGCAUGGGGAGCGAACAGG
rnacentral:rRNA from 1 species